CUUCCUUCGACAAUUUGAUCAAAAUAAAUCUCAAUGUUGGACAGAAGUUGCAUUUCCAUUUAUCAACAGCUCUGGAAAAAAAUGUUUGGCUGUUCCAGCGCAUCUGAAACCUGAUAAUCACUCGUUCAUUUCAGUCAGACAUUUUUCCACUGAUCCUCCGAGCGUCUGUCGCCUUCCUCGCCGCCUCAUCGUCGCCUCAUCAUCG